UACGUAGGGGGCAAGCGUUGUCCGGAAUCAUUGGGCGUAAAGAGCGUGUAGGCGGCCCGGUAAGUCCGCUGUGAAAGUCCAGGGCUCAACCCUGGGAUGCCGGUGGAUACUGUCGGGCUCGAGUCCGGAAGAGGAGUGUGGAAUUCCUGGUGUAGCGGUGAAAUGCGCAGAUAUCAGGAGGAACACCAAUGGCGAAGGCAGCACUCUGG
rnacentral:rRNA from 1 species